rnacentral:rRNA from 1 species
AUUGAACGCUGGCGGCAGGCCUAACACAUGCAAGUCGAGCGAGCGGCGGACGUGUGAGUAAUUUCUGGGAACCUGCCCGAUCGACGGGUAUCACUACUGUAAACGUUGGCUAAUACCGCAUACCAUCAGAUUUCACCAGAUGGAAUUAUCUAGUAGGUGGGGUAACGGCUUACCUAGGCGACGAUCCCUAGCUGGUCUGAGAGGAUGACCAGACACACUGGGACUGAGACACGGCCCAGACUCCUACGGGAGGCAGCAGUGGGGAAUAUUGCACAAUGGGCGCAAGCCUGAUGCAGCCAUGCCGCUUGUAUGAAGAAGGCCCUAGGGUUGUAAAGUACUUUCAGUGGGGAGGCGUUACCGACAGAAGAAGCACCGGCUAACUCCGUGCCAGCAGCCGCGGUAAUAC